rnacentral:lncRNA from 1 species
UUUCCCCCAUGCUGUUCUUGUGAUAGUGAGUUCUCAUGAGAUCUGAUGGUUUUAAAAGUGGCAGUUUUUUCCUGAACUCUCACUCUUCCCUCCUGCCGCCUUGUGAAGAAGGUGCCUGUUUCCCCUUCACUUUCCGCCAUGAUUGUAGGUUUCCUGAGGCCUCCCCAGCCGUGUGGAACUUAGCCAGAUAACCAAAGGGAGGCUAACCGAAGUUAAGUAACCUACACAGGAUGAAAUAACUACCCUGGUCACACUGCCCCCACCAAGUCUCCACCCUGAUGCCUCUGUUCCUCCAGCAUAGCUGCCUAAAAAGGACCCUCAAGAAUCCCUUGUCUGAUUACAGGCAGAGCUUCCUGAGCCCAGAUAUCAGUCCUGGCUCUGAAAGUCUGUGUGGAACUGAGGAGCUCACUUAAAUUAUUGAGUCUCUAUGUCCUUUUCUGCAAAAUGGGAAUGAACAUCAUCUAUUUCACAGAAUCACUGAAGGAAUUAAAAGAUAAUGUACAUGAAUAUGUCAAGUGCUUCAAUAUUUUUAGUUACGAUAAUAAUAA